GACGAACGCUGGCGGCGUGCUUAACACAUGCAAGUCGAACGGUAAGGCUCCAGCUUGCUGGGGUACACGAGUGGCGAACGGGUGAGUAACACGUGGGUGACCUGCCCUGCACUUCGGGAUAAGCCUGGGAAACUGGGUCUAAUACCGUAUAGGACCGCACCGUGAGGGUGUGGUGGUAAGUUUUUUCGGUGUGGGAUGGGCCCGCGGCCUAUCAGCUUGUUGGUGGGGUAAUGGCCUACCAAGGCGGCGACGGGUAGCCGGCCUGAGAGGGUGGACGGCCACAUGGGGACUGAGACACGGCCCAGACUCCUACGGGAGGCAGCAGGGGGGAAUAUUGCACAAUGGGCGGAAGCCUGAUGCAGCGACGCCGCGUGGGGGAUGACGGCCUUCGGGUUGUAAACUCCUUUCGCCAUCGACGAAGGGUUUCUGACGGUAGAUGGAGAAGAAGCACCGGCUAACUACGUG
rnacentral:rRNA from 1 species